rnacentral:rRNA from 1 species
UACGGAGGGUGCAAGCGUUAUCCGGAUUUACUGGGUUUAAAGGGUGCGUAGGUGGGCAGGUAAGUCAGUGGUGAAAUCUCCGGGCUUAACCCGGAAACUGCCAUUGAUACUAUCUGUCUUGAAUAUCCUGGAGGUGAGCGGAAUAUGUCAUGUAGCGGUGAAAUGCUUAGAUAUGACAUAGAACACCAAUUGCGAAGGCAGCUCACUACGGGAUUAUUGACACUGAGGCACGAAAGCGUGGGGAUCAAACAGG